AUACGGAGGGGGCUAGCGUUAUUCGGAAUUACUGGGCGUAAAGGGCGCGUAGGCGGAUUAGUAAGUUGGGAGUGAAAGCCCGGGGCUUAACCUCGGAACUGCUUUCAAAACUGCUAGUCUUGAGUGAAGUAGGGGGUGAUGGAAUUCCUAGUGUAGAGGUGAAAUUCUUAGAUAUUAGGAGGAACACCGGUGGCGAAGGCGGUCACCUGGACUUCAACUGACGCUGAGGCGCGAAAGCGUGGGGAGCAAACAGGAUUAGAAACCCUAGUAGUCC
rnacentral:rRNA from 1 species